rnacentral:rRNA from 1 species
AGUCGAGCGAUGAACACCUUCGGGUGUGAAUUAGCGGCGAACGGGUGAGGAACACGUGAAGAAUCUGCCUUCAACUCUGGGAUAACUCCGGGAAACCGGGGCUAAUACCGGAUAUGAGCCUCGAUCGCAUGAUUGGGGCUGGAAAGUUUUUCGGUUGAAGAUGACUUCGCGGCCUAUCAGCUUGUUGGUGAGGUAAUGGCUCACCAAGGCGACGACGGGUAGCCGGCCUGAGAGGGCGACCGGCCACACUGGGACUGAGACACGGCCCAGACUCCUACGGGAGGCAGCAGUGGGGAAUAUUGGGCAAUGGAGGAAACUCUGACCCAGCGACGCCGCGUGAGGGAUGAAGGCCUUCGGGUUGUAAACCUCUUUCAGUAGGGAAGAAGCGAAAGUGACGGUACCUACAGAAGAAGCACCGGCUAACUAUGUGCCAGCAGCCGCGGUAAUACAUAGGGUGCAAGCGUUGUCCGGAAUUAUUGGGCGUAAAGAGCUCGUAGGUGGUUCGAUACGUCGGAUGUGAAAAUCAGGGGCUCAACCCCUGACCUGCAUCCGAUACGGUCGAGCUAGAGUUUGGUAGGGGAGACUGGAAUUCCUGGUGUAGCGGUGGAAUGCGCAGAUAUCAGAGGAACACCGAUGGCGAAAGGCAGGUCUCUGGGCCAAUACUGACACUGAGGAGCGAAAGCGUGGGGAGCGAACAGGAUUAGAUACCCUGGUAGUCCACGCCGUAACGGUGGGCGCUAGUUGUGCGAACCUUUCCACGGGUUUGUGCGACGCAGCUNCGCAUUAAGCGCNNCGNUGGGGAGUACGAUCGCA